rnacentral:lncRNA from 1 species
UGGAUGGCAAAGCAUGGUAAACAGUGUGUACAUCAGUUUCUCCUUCAUUUGUACAUCAGAUUCUGUUUGUUUUUCAUUGUUGAAAUGGAAAGAGACAUGUUUUUGUAAUUCGCUUUUCUUGCUUCUUCAUUUAAACAACUGAGGAGUGACAUACGUGGUCCAAACCAAAGUAAAAAUGUCAAUGGAAAGUGAUGAGGAUGAUAUUAUUGAUGAGUUUGAAUAGAUUGGAAGCUGAAGAUACAAUUCGAAUAAUUAGGAAAAGUGGUCCAAGAAAUCAAGAGGAUACCGUCAUUUCACAGGAGGAUGACAUCAUUUCACCGGAAGAUAACAUCAUUUCACAUGAGAACAUAUUUACACAAGAGAAAGACAUCA